UACGGGGGGGGCAAGCGUUGUUCGGAAUUACUGGGCGUAAAGGGCUCGUAGGUGGCCAACUAAGUCAGACGUGAAAUCCCUCAGCUUAACUGGGGAACUGCGUCUGAUACUGGAUGGCUUGAGAUUGGGAGAGGGAUGCGGAAUUCCAGGUGUAGCGGUGAAAUGCGUAGAUAUCUGGAGGAAUACCGAUGGCGAAGGCAGCCCCCUGGGAUAACACUGACGCUCAUGCACGAAAGCGUGGGGAGCAAACAGG
rnacentral:rRNA from 1 species